AUAAAAUAGAAAUUUUAAUUGACAUUAAAACUGGAAUGCUACUGAGCAGAUUGGCAUGACGCCUGCGCUAGGCUGACAUGCAAAUUUGUGAAGCGUUCCACAUGAAU